rnacentral:rRNA from 1 species
AGGGCAAUACCGCGAGGUGGAGCAAAUCCCUAAAAGCCGUCUCAGUUCGGAUUGCAGGCUGCAACUCGCCUGCAUGAAGCUGGAAUUGCUAGUAAUCGCGGAUCAGCAUGCCGCGGUGAAUACGUUCCCGGGCCUUGUACACACCGCCCGUCACACCAUGAGAGUCGGGAACACCCGAAGUCCGUAGUCUAACCGCAAGGAGGGCGCGGCCGAAGGUGGGUCCGGUAAUUGGGGUGAAGUCGUAACAAGGUACC